CCUACGGGUGGCAGCAGUGGGGAAUAUUGGACAAUGGGGGGAACCCUGAUCCAGCCAUGCCGCGUGUGUGAAGAAGGCCCUCGGGUUGUAAAGCACUUUCAGUGAGGAAGAACGCCUGGUGGUGAAUACCGAUCAGAAAAGACAUCACUCACAGAAGAAGCACCGGCUAACUCCGUGCCAGCAGCCGCGGUAAUACGGAGGGUGCGAGCGUUAAUCGGAAUUACUGGGCGUAAAGCGCGCGUAGGUGGCUUGAUAAGCCGGUUGUGAAAGCCCCGGGCUCAACCUGGGAACGGCAUCCGGAACUGUCAAGCUAGAGUGCAGGAGAGGAAGGUAGAAUUCCCGGUGUAGCGGUGAAAUGCGUAGAGAUCGGGAGGAAUACCAGUGGCGAAGGCGGCCUUCUGGACUGACACUGACACUGAGGUUCGAAAGCGUGGGUAGCAAACAGGAUUAGAUACCCUUGUAGUC
rnacentral:rRNA from 1 species